rnacentral:rRNA from 1 species
UACGUAGGGCGCAAGCGUUGUCCGGAAUUAUUGGGCGUAAAGAGCUCAUAGGCGGUCUGUCGCGUCGGCUGUGAAAGCCCGGGGCUCAACCCCGGGUCUGCAGUCGAUACGGGCAGGCUAGAGUGCGGUAGGGGAGACUGGGAUACCUGGUGUAGCGGUGAAAUGCGCAGAUAUCAGGAGGAACACCGGUGGCGAAGGGGGUCUCUGGGCCGUAACUGACGCUGAGGAGCGAAAGCGUGGGGAGCGAACAGG